CCUACGGGAGGCAGCAGUGAGGAAUAUUGGUCAAUGGACGAGAGUCUGAACCAGCCAAGUAGCGUGAAGGAUGACUGCCCUAUGGGUUGUAAACUUCUUUUAUAUGGGAAUAAAAUGUUCCACGUGUGGGCUUUUGUAUGUACCCUAUGAAUAAGGAUUGGCUAACUCCGUGCCAGCAGCCGCGGUAAUACGGAGGAUCCGAGCGUUAUCCGGAUUUAUUGGGUUUAAAGGGAGCGUAGGUGGAUUGUUAAGUCAGUUGUGAAAGUUUGCGGCUCAACCGUAAAAUUGCAGUUGAAACUGGCAGUCUUGAGUACAGUAGAGGUGGGCGGAAUGCGUGGUGUAGCGGUGAAAUGCUUAGAUAUCACGAAGAACUCCGAUUGCGAAGGCAGCUCACUGGACUGCAACUGACACUGAGGCUCGAAAGUGUGGGUAUCAAACAGGAUUAGAUACCCGUGUAGUC
rnacentral:rRNA from 1 species